CUAGAGGGUACUUGCCAUAGCUCAUACCAUGCUAUCUCCAAAAAUAAAGCUUCUCAGCUGCCAUUCUCUGUUGCUCAGCCAGAAGUUGCUGAAGUUCCUCUGUAGACAAUUCCUCCAAGUGUUCCUUCACCAGUUCCUCAACAUCACCACUGUCUAUCUGCAAGCCUAUGGAUGCUACUAUAGUGAAAAUGUCAUCAACCACUGGAUCAAAUGAAGGCUCAGGCUCCUCUACACAGCCUUCAGUCACUCUCCUAUAUAGUUUUAGGCCACACUUUCUUCCAGGCAGAUCUAAGUGUCCUUAGAGGGACACUGGCCCAGGAUUUCUCAAUUCACCCCAAACAGGAUAUACCAGUAUUUCAGUUGUAACUCAGGACUUUGGUCAUAAAUUAAAACUAAAAUUCUGGUCAGAACCCAAGUUGUUUGGCUGGCUGUAACUUGAGGGUCCACUGUUAAGGGAUAGAAAGGGCUGUGGUUGGCCCUUGUGCCUUUGCUACUUUUUGCCUGCCAUUAACUGUUUCCCCUUUGUGAUACCACCCUGCCUUGGAGCCAGCUGAUUGUAGACUGAAACCUCUACAAACUGUGAGCUAAAUAAACCUUUCCUUCCUUAACUUUGGGUGUCAGGUAUUUUGUCUCAGCAAUGAGAGAAAAGUAACUAAGACAGGCAGUGACAUGAUUUGAUGCUGAUGAUAUGUGCUAUGCGUAGUGCUUUAUUUAGGAUUUAGCUUGAAGUUAAAGCCAACAGGACUGGCCGUGGGAGGCAGGAGGAAAGAAAGAAUUUAAGUGUAACAGUUUAGAUCUGAAAUGUGCCCCCAACGCCUCAUGUGUGCAGAGGUGUGGCUUUUGGAAGGUGAUGGAUUAUGGUGACCAUAUAGCUGACAUGUUACUAGGAG
rnacentral:lncRNA from 1 species